rnacentral:rRNA from 1 species
CAUCGCCUCUUGCCCCCAAAAUAUGAGAGGUCCCGCCUGCCCUGUGACUAUAAGUUUAACGGCCGCGGUAUUUUAACCGUGCGAAGGUAGCGUAAUCACUUGUCUUUUAAAUGAAGACCUGUAUGAAUGGCAUCACGAGGGCUUAGCUGUCUCCCAUCUCCAGUCAAUGAAAUUGACCUCCCCGUGCAGAGGCGGGGAUGACUACAUAAGACGAGAAGACCCUAUGGAGCUUUAGACCUAAAGUAAGUCACGUUUAAUAUGCUGUGAUAACAGCGAAAACUUAGUGAUAUUUACUGAAGUGUCUUUGGUUGGGGCGACCGCGGGGUAAAACACAACCCCCAUGUGGACCGGGGAUAUUAUCCCUAAUACUCAGAGCCUCUACUCCAAGUAACAGAAAUUCUGACUUUUCUGAUCCGGUAUAACCGAUCAACGAACCGAGUUACCCUAGGGAUAACAGCGCAAUCCCCUCUCAGAGCCCAUAUCGACGAGGGGGUUUACGACCUCGAUGUUGGAUCAGGACAUCCUAAUGGUGCAGCCGCUAUUAAGGGUUCGUUUGUUCAACGAUUAAAGUCCUACGU